UACGUAGGUGGCAAGCGUUGUCCGGAAUUAUUGGGCGUAAAGCGCGCGCAGGUGGUUUCUUAAGUCUGAUGUGAAAGCCCACGGCUCAACCGUGGAGGGUCAUUGGAAACUGGGGAACUUGAGUGCAGAAGAGGAAAGUGGAAUUCCAAGUGUAGCGGUGAAAUGCGUAGAGAUUUGGAGGAACACCAGUGGCGAAGGCGGCUCUCUGGGACGGUACUGACGCUGAGACGCGAAAGCGUGGGGAGCAAACAGG
rnacentral:rRNA from 1 species